rnacentral:rRNA from 1 species
UACGUAGGGUGCGAGCGUUAAUCGGAAUUACUGGGCGUAAAGCGUGCGCAGGCGGUUCGUUAAGUUCGAUGUGAAAGCCCCGGGCUCAACCUGGGAACUGCGUCUGAUACUGGACGGCUUGAGUAUGGGAGAGGAACGUAGAAUUCCAGGUGUAGCGGUGAAAUGCGUAGAUAUCUGGAGGAAUACCGGUGGCGAAGGCGGCGUUCUGGACCAUUACUGACACUGAAUCGCGAAAGCUAGGGGAGCAAACGGG